CCUACGGGAGGCAGCAGUGAGGAAUAUUGGUCAAUGGACGAGAGUCUGAACCAGCCAAGUAGCGUGAAGGAUGACUGCCCUAUGGGUUGUAAACUUCUUUUAUAAAGGAAUAAAACGAGGCACGUGUGCCUUUUUGCAUGUACUUUAUGAAUAAGGAUAGGCUAACUCCGUGCCAGCAGCCGCGGUAAUACGGAGGAUCCGAGCGUUAUCCGGAUUUAUUGGGUUUAAAGGGACCGUAGAUGGGUUGUUAAGUCAGUUGUGAAAGUUUGCAGCUCAACCGUAAAAUUGCAAUUGAUACUGGCAGUCGUGAGUACAGUUGAGGUAGGUGGAAUUCGUGGUGUAGCGGUGAAAUGCUGAGAUAUCACGAAGAACCCCGAUUGCGAAGGCAGCUUACUAAACUGUGACUGACAUUGAUGCUCGAAAGUGUGGGUAUCAAACAGGAUUAGAUACCCCAGUAGUC
rnacentral:rRNA from 1 species